AGUCGUAACAAGGUUUCCGUAGGUGAACCUGCGGAAGGAUCAUUACUAAAUCCAAAAAUUGAGACAAUGUUGAAACGUGUGUUGUUUGUGGCGGAUGGCGCGUGUAACGUGCGCAGUGCGUCGUUGUUCGUCGCGUUGUCUUGUGGGUGUGAGAUAGGUCGUGUGCGUCGCACCGUGUGUGAUGCGCACAUUGCCCAACCAUCCCCUUGACGACGAUGAUGAUUGGACGACGGCCAUUCGCGCGUACGACGCGCGUCAAGAAGCCACAAACAAACCAAUUUAUAAUACACCAUGAGUAUACCACCAAUGACAGUUAUUUUAUUAUAUAUCAUACAUAUAAAGCAUAACUUUCAACAACGGAUCUCUUGGUUCUG
rnacentral:misc_RNA from 1 species